AUUAGUAAUGUUGUAUAAAUAGCAAGGAAAUUAGUCAGUACUUCUUUUAUCAAAACAAAAGCAAUACGGAGGUAUUGGCGAUUUGACCAGAAGAGAAUCAAAUCUGCAAAAUCUAUUUUAAGAAUAUUUAUUGCCUGGAAAGGCGAAGCCUGAUUAUACGUGAUAAAUUGGAAUAUUAUCAAGCUAAGGAUGUCAGUAAAUAGUGAAUAUGGCACAACUCAAGAGAACCGCCCGGAAAUGGGUUUUUGGCAAAGGCAGGGAAAAGGCGCAUCACCCAAGCUGAGACUGCUAGACUACGCUGCUUGUUAGUACGAGCUAUAGUUAUUAUAAUGGCCUAAAAUCAGACUUCCAUUUAUGUAAUAAAGUUGGACUCGGUAGUAAUGUUGUAAGACAAGCGACCCUGGACUUGUGGGGCAAGAGUUGGAUUAUGUAAUAUUAAUAUGUAAUUCAAGUGUUGUUUUGAGCCAGAUGUUUAGUGGCGGACCAGAUCUGCGGGAUGUGGAUCUGGGGGCGUCACACAUACAUAUAUUAUAAUUUAAAUUCAUAAUUAUUAUAUAUAAUAUUAUGUUUAUUUAGACUAAAUGAUGAUUAUUUUAAUAUUUGAAUAAAAAUGAUACUCAAUAUAAAUGGAUCAAUUCGGCUCGUGUUCAAUGUAUCAUAAACUAUUCGGUUAGAAAAUUGAAAAUUGAUACUGAUUCAAAUUUGGUUUAGAUUCGGACUCCAAAUAUACCCUAAAUAAGUUAUAUCCAAAUAAAAUGAUCUGAUACUUAAGCAGAUUCGGAUCCCAAAUACCAUGUACCAAUUUAUAUCCAAAUAAAAUGAUUUGAUACUUAUGUAGGUGGAUAUCCAGUAUCACACAAAUUAUUUUACACUCCUGAUUAGAAAGGACAAAUGUAAUAAGAAGAAUAAGUCAUAAAAAAAAUAUCACUCAUAAAAAUUGGGUACUUUUUACGUUUGAAGAUGCAUGGUUCAUUAUUUUGUUAGAAAAUUAUUUAAAAAUAAAUAAAUUUAUAGGAGUAUAUUUAUAGACUAAAUUGCAUUUUGGGGGACCAAACUAGUUUCUUAGCAGUAAAAUGCCUUUUUCAAGAAAAUUAACACAAAAUGAACGAUCAAUUAAUUAUCAAGCAAUUUAUUGCACUCCGUUAAAUCAGGCAGACAUACGUUACCUUCCUGAAGGCAGAUUGGUUUGUUCAACAAUCGAACGACUAUAUUAUGUGUAUAUAUAAAUGUAUAACCCCCAUGGCCCAUCCCACACUGCCAAACCCUAAUUAUUUAUCUCUCCCAAAUUGAUUACAAUGAAUCAACAAUGUUAGUGCGGAAAUUGGGCUGUCGAGAAGUGUCAUGGACAGAAUACAAUUCGGGACGCAAGUUGUUGAUGUGUGCAACUAGUGCUUGCAGCUUUUUUCGUUGGGGUGAAGGAGAGAUGGAUACAAGAGCCAAGUCCACCAUUAAUGGACUGCUUAGGCGUUCCAAGCUUAAAGACGAUGAACAUUUUGCUGAGUUGAUUCAGGUUUCGAGAUGUGUACGUUGAAGUAGUGAAAAAAGCGAAGGAGGUUGCUCGAAAAUGAAAGAUGUGUUGUGUGUUUUUCUUAUUGUAUAUCUUUCAAUUGUAUCUUUAGCUCUCGUGAAAAGGAAGUUGAACCCUAAGUCUGACUUUAUAUAUGAAUGACUCUGUUUAUGUAUGAUGAAUGAUGUAAUGAAAUGGCCUUUUGUUGCCUUAUGUAA